rnacentral:rRNA from 1 species
CAUGAACGCUGGCGGCAUGCCUAACACAUGCAAGUCGAACGAGACCUUCGGGUCUAGUGGCGCACGGGUGCGUAACGCGUGGGAAUCUGCCCUUGGGUUCGGAAUAACAGUUAGAAAUGACUGCUAAUACCGAAUGAUGUCGUAAGACCAAAGAUUUAUCGCCCAGGGAUGAGCCCGCGUAAGAUUAGGUAGUUGGUGUGGUAAAGGCGCACCAAGCCGACGAUCUAGUCUGGUCUGAGAGGAUGAUCAGCCACACUGGGACUGAGACACGGCCCAGACUCCUACGGGAGGCAGCAGUGGGGAAUAUUGGACAAUGGGCGAAAGCCUGAUCCAGCAAUGCCGCGUGAGUGAUGAAGGCC